rnacentral:rRNA from 1 species
UACGUAGGGAGCAAGCGUUGUCCGGAAUCAUUGGGCGUAAAGCGCGCGUAGGUGGCCACAUAAGUCCGUUGUGAAAGUCAAAGGCUCAACCUUUGAAAGCCGAUGGAUACUGUGUGGCUAGAGUACGGAAGAGGCGAGUGGAAUUCCUGGUGUAGCGGUGAAAUGCGCAGAUAUCAGGAGGAACACCAAUGGCGAAGGCAGCUCACUGGGACGGUAUUGACGCUGAGACGCGAAAGCGUGGGGAGCAAACAGG